AAUUCAUCACUGCUAGACUGGCCUUAUAAGAAAAUGCUCAAGGGAGUCUUAUAUCUGGAAAUGAAAAAAUAAUAACCACUGUCAUGAAAACAUGUGAAACUAUUAAAUUCACUGAUAGAGCCCAAACACAAAGAAAAGAAAGGAAUCAAAACAUAUGAAUGUGGAAAACCACCCAAGCACAAACCAUAAGAAAGGAAUUACAGAACAAAAGAUAAAACAUCCAGGAAACCAUAUGACAGAAGCAAGUAUUCACCUAUCAAUAACCUUGAAUGUAAAUAGAUUCAGUUCCCCCAUUUAAAAGAUACAGACUGGCCGAAAGGUUAAUGCACCCAACUAUAUACUGCAUACAAGAAACUCACCUCACCUGUAAAGACACACAGACUGAUAGCAAAGGGAUAGAAAAAGAUACUUCAUGCAAAUGGAAAGCAAAAGCCAGCCAGAGUAGCUGUACUUAUAUCAGACCAAAGAGACAUCAAGUCAAAAGCUGUAAAAAGCAACACAUGAAGCAUUCUUCAGGAUUGAUCAUAUGUUAGGACACAAAACAAAUCUCAAAAAAAAAUUUAUCAGCUAUCUUGGGGUCACCAAUAUGUCGUUUCCAAAGUAUAAACCGUCGCACCUGGCCACUCUGCCCCAGACCCUCGACCCAGCUGAAUAUGACAUAUCUCGGGAAACUCGGCAGGCGCAAGUCGAGCGGUUGGCCAUUAGAGCCCAGCUGAAAUGAGAGUACCUGCUUCAGUACAACGACCCCAACCGCCGAGGACUUGUCGUAAAUCCUGCCUUGGUUCGUUGGGCCUAUGCAAGAGCAAACAUCCAUCCUAAUUGCAGAGCCACUCCUAAAAACUCACUCAUUGGAGCUGUGUUUGGAUUUGGGCCCCUCAUCUUGUGGUAUUAUAUUCUCAAAACUGACAGGGAUAAGAAAGAAAAACUUAUCCAGGAAGGAAAAUUGGAUUGAACAUUUAGUCUCUCAUCUUAAGUCUGGCAAUGGUGACUACAUGUAUUACCUCAAAUAAAUCACCUAUUAAUCAUU